GAAAUGCGAUAAGUAAUGUGAAUUGCAGAAUUCCGUGAAUCAUCGAAUCUUUGAACGCACAUUGCGCCCUCUGGUAUUCCGGGGGGCAUGCCUGUCCGAGCGUCAUUGCGAACCCCUCAAGCACGGCUUGUGUGAUGGGCCCUCCCGCGUCUUGGUCGUCAAGACGGGCCCGAAAUGCAGUGGCGGCUUCGCGGUUAUCCGAUCAGCCAGAGCGUAUGGGGACUUUCUCUCUGUCACACGCCCGCGGCGCGGACCGACUCCUGUCGACCUUCAUUCAUCGUUUUCUCGGUUGACCUCGGAUCAGGUAGGGAUACCCGCUGAACUUAAGC
rnacentral:misc_RNA from 1 species